ACCCGCUGAAUUUAAGCAUAUCAGUAAGCGGAGGAAAAGAAACUAACUAGGAUUCCCCGAGUAGCGGCGAGCGAAAGGGGAGAAGCCCAGCGCCGAAGCCCGCGGCCUCCGGUCGCAGUGCAAUGUGGCGUUUCGGUGGCGGCUCGCCGCGUCGACUCCGGCACGAGUACCUCUGAAUGGGUCUGCCCGCAGCGGGUGUCAGGCCUCUACUUGCCAACGGGUCGGCGUGACUUGCCGUUCAUCGCGGAGUCGGGUUGCUUGAGAGUGCAGCCCAAAGUGGGUGGUAAGCUCCAUCUAAGGCUAAAUACCUAGUGCGAGACCGAUAGCAAACAAGUACCGUGAGGGAAAGUUGCAAAGAACUUUGAAAAGAGAGUUCAAGAGUACGUGAAACCGUUCAGAGGCAAACGGACGGAACUGGGCGAGUUCGCCGCCGUCAUUCAGCCGUCUCCUCCUGUCGCGGGAGCGAGGCGGUGCACUUGGCGACGGUGAAGCGUGACGACCGCCUGUCGAGUCGUCAGAAGCCCGGCGGCAAGGUAGCGACGCGCUCGCGCGUCGUGUUACAGGCCGUCGCGGCGUCGGCUGACUUGGCGGGCGAGGAGCGCCUGCGGUACACUCCCUGCGCGGGAGUGACCCGACGUGGUGGGCUUGCGGACGCCGGUGGCGAACUGCGUGCAGUUCGUCGUCGCGUCGUUCCGUCUGUCGCGCCGCGCGGUGUCACGCGGUACCGAGGGUCCGAGUCGCGUGGUUCCCGGCACUCCGUCCGACCCGUCUUGAAACACGGACCAAGGAGUUGAGCACGCGCGCAAGUCAAUGGGCAUCAAGAACCCCAAAGGCGCAGCUAAGGCAAAACGGGCGUGAUCCGGCACUGGCGUGUCGGCGCAACGCCGGCCCGCAGCCGACUCGACGCGAGUGGCUGCGGCGCAAGAGCGCGUGUGCUCAGACCCGAAAGGUGGUGAACUAUGCUUGAGCAGGGCGAAGCCAGAGGAAACUCUGGUGGAGGCUCGCAGCGAUCCUGACGUGCAAAUCGGUCGUCAAACUUGAGCAUAGGGGCGAAAGACUAAUCGAACCGCCUAGUAGCUGGUUCCCUCCGAAGUUUCCCUCAGGAUAGCUGGCACUCGGGAAACAUGCUUUUAUCCGGUAAAGCGAAUGACUAGAGGCAUUGGGGACGAAACGUCCUCAACCUAUUCUCAAACUUUAAAUGGGUAAGAGGCGCGACCCUUCCUGAGCGGGGUCGCGUACUAGAACAGAGAGUGCCCAGUGGGCCGUUUUUGGUAAGCAGAACUGGCGCUGUGGGAUGAACCAAACGUGCGGUUAGGGUGCCUAACGCACGCUCAUGAGACACCACAAAAGGUGUUGGUUGAUAUAGACAGCAGGACGGUGGCCAUGGAAGUCGGAAUCCGCUAAGGAGUGUGUAACAACUCACCUGCCGAAUCAACUAGCCCUGAAAAUGGAUGGCGCUGGAGCGUGCGACCCAUACCGCACCGUCGGGGCAAUGCGUGCGAAAUGCCAGGCCCCGACGAGUAGGAGGGCGUGUCGGUGGCGCUGAAGCGUAGUGCGCGAGCACGCGUGGAGCCGCCUUCAGUGCAGAUCUUGGUGGUAGUAGCAAGUAUACAAAUGAGAACUUUGUAGACCGAAGUGGAGAAGGGUUCCAUGUGAACAGCAGUUGGACAUGGGUCAGUCGGCCCUAAGAGAUCGGAAAAUUCCGUUCUGAACGGGGGAGAGACGCGUCGCCGUCUGAAUGAGAACGGGUGGCCGAUGUAGCGGCGCCGCCGACUUUGCGCGCGCGCGCGUGUGCGCCUUCCUUCCGAACGUCUCUAGGUUGGAGGGUGGCAGCGCGUGCGUGUCGUCGAGCGAGCGAGCGCGCACAUGAGCGCCCGUUGUAGUUCUGGUGAGGUGUGCGGCUAUGAGCUGGGCGCGUUCUGCGUACCCCGAUGCGAUCGAAAGGGAAUCGGGUUAAUAUUCCCG
rnacentral:rRNA from 1 species